AAGGUUUCUGGUGUAGUGAACCGCGAAGGAGGGGUGUGAUGAGUUACACAAGAGCACUGACUGUUCACUCCCUGUGAGGCCACCAGGGUGCUCUGAUGUUCUCCAAGCGCUGCUAACCUGGAUUUGAAGCAGCUCCAUGUCAUGUGGCAAAGUCUGGAGUCCUCCUUCCCAUGGAAACACCUCAGUGCUCCAAGGACAUGGUCACAUGAAGAAUUACUUGGCAAAGCUGAUGGUGCACAAGGGACCAGACUCCAAGAUGAAAAGCGAGCCUUGCUGGAAUGUGAAAGCACAGAUUGCACCCUGGAUGAAUGUGGGCAGGAGCUGGAUGAAUAAAGAGGUAUUAAUUCUUCCUGCAUCUACCAUUGAAAUAGAACUGGGCGACUGUUCAAUAGCAAAGUAGGAUGGAAUUAAUCUGUUUUACUCAUGACCUUUUUUCUUUUCUCAGAAGUGUUAGGGCUUCACUCAGAGCAGCAGUUCACCUAAAAACCCAUCUCCAGUAUUUGCUGUAAGAGAAGAAUAGGUCAAACAAGCUGCUGUGUCACUUCAGCUCCCUCUUUAUUGGUGUUUAAGUGAGUGACUCUGAAUUCCUCAGCUGUAGGAUGUGAUUGUUCAAUAGGGUCAUGAAGCCUCUCCAGAAA